rnacentral:pre_miRNA from 1 species
AAAAAGACAAACCCUGGUUUCCGUGUCCAACAUUUGACCGUCCGUCUUAUUUGAAAAAAUUAUGAAAAAAAAAUUAAAAAGACAAGUCACGCAUAAAAUAUUAAUCAUGUUUUAUCAUCUAACAAUAAUAAAAAUACAAAUUAUAAAAAAUUUCAUAUAAGACGGACAGUUAAAGUUGGACACGGAAAUCUAGAGUUUGUCUUUUU